rnacentral:rRNA from 1 species
CUACGGGUGGCAGCAGUGAGGAAUAUUGCACAAUGGGGGGAACCCUGAUGCAGCAACGCCGCGUGGAGGAUGACGCAUUUCGGUGUGUAAGCUCCUUUUAUAUGUCAGGAAAAUGACGGUAGCAUAUGAAUAAGCACCGGCUAACUCCGUGCCAGCAGCCGCGGUAAUACGGAGGGUGCAAGCGUUACUCGGAAUCACUGGGCGUAAAGGACGCGUAGGCGGGUUGGAAAGUCAGGUGUGAAAUCCUACAGCUUAACUGUAGAACUGCACUUGAAACUUCUAAUCUAGAGUAUGGGAGGGGGAGAUGGAAUUAGUGGUGUAGGGGUAAAAUCCGUAGAUAUCACUAGGAAUACCUAAAGCGAAGGCGAUCUCCUGGAACAUUACUGACGCUAAGGCGUGAAAGCGUGGGGAGCAAACAGGAUUAGAUACCCCAGUAGUC